UUCCUUCCUUCCUUCCUUCCUUCCUUCCUUCCUUCCUUCCUUCCUUCUUUCUUUUUGAGAUGGAGUCUUGCUCUAUCACUUAGGGUGGAGUACAAUGCCACGAUCUCAGCUCACCGCAACCUCUGCCUCAUGGGUUCAAGCAGUUCUUGUGCCUCAGCCUCCCUAAUAGCUGGGAUUGCAGACGCGUGCCAUCAUGCCUGGCUAGUUUUUGUAUUUUCAGUAGAGAUGGGGUUUCUCCAUGUUUCCCAGACUGGUCUUGAACUCUUGACCUCAAGUGAUCCACCUGCCUCUGCCUCCCAACAUGCUGGGAUUACAGGCAUGAGCCACCACAUCUGGCCAGUUAUUCAUAAAAAAAUGAAAUAUACCUCAAAUUAAUGAACAUAUAAAUGAGUAUAAAUGUUUAUACAUUUAUUAAUUUGAGGUAUAUUUGAAAAGCAAGGAUCAAUGGAGAGAAGGUCUCAUUUUUGUUGUCAUCUCUUCUGCUCUGUACUCAGAAUGGAAGCACAGAAGCUGGUUUUAAUAGUUAAGAGCUGUAUGGUCCAUCUCUGUGCUAGAAGCUGGAGACCAAUAACAGUCACUCCCUGCACUGAUUCUGCCAUGACCACUUGCUCUAUGGUUGUUUUAAGGAACCUACAGACAAAUAAUGGAUUAUCAUUGGUGAAGAUCUUAGCUGUUCCAUAGAAGGAACACACUUAUCACUACAGUGAUUCUGUAAUGAUGAAGACCUUUAUGGGAUGGGUAGACCAGAGCUGAUUAAAUUAUUCUCCCAUUGAUGAGGAACUUUACCUUAUCCCUCAGAGUAAGGAGAAUGUCAUAUAAUGAAAGAUACUGAUCUCUGUUCUUGGUUAAGUUCCAAGAACCAUCUAAGUUUCGUGCCCCUCAGCUGUAAAAGGGAAGUACAUUUCAUUUGUUUAUUCUGUAAAACUCUCGGUGUGUGCCAUGGCCAUGCACUGAUGAUGAGCACAUGUGUGCGGCCCCUGCCCCCGUGGAGCGCAUGCAUGGUCCUCCAGCCAGAGACCGCGCUGGGAGAAAUCAGGGGUUCACUCCUGGUCGGAGGAGCAAUCCAUCAGUCAUCCUGCCCAGAGCUUGUGAAGGUGCAGUGGCCUGAGCCAGGCUUCCAAGAGGACAACCGUGAUGGGCUCUGUGUGCGUUGCUGGGAGGACUUUUCAAUGUGAUGGCAGCCUGGGGGAAGACAGUGUCACCACGACAGUGUCACGGAACAUGCAG
rnacentral:lncRNA from 1 species